rnacentral:rRNA from 1 species
GACGAACGCUGGCGGCGUGCUUAAUACAUGCAAGUCGACUGAACUUAAGGUAGCAAUAUUUUAAGGGAGGUGGCGCACGGGUGAGUAACACGUAGGUAAUCUGCCUUUAGGACUGACAUAACCCAGAGAAAUCUGGGCUAAUAUCAGAUGAUGCAGCGGCUCGACAUCGAGACAGUUGUUAAACCUUCGGGGCCUAGAGAUGAGCCUGCGUCUGAUUAGGUAGUUGGCGGGGUAAUGGCCCACCAAGCCAUCGAUCAGUAGCUGGUCUGAGAGGAUGAUCAGCCACACUGGAACUGAGACACGGUCCAGACUCCUACGGGAGGCAGCAGUAAGGAAUAUUGCUCAAUGGCCGAAAGGCUGAAGCAGCAACGCCGCGUGGAGGAUGAAAUACUUUUGUAUGUAAACUCCUGUGAGAAGGGAAAAUAUGCAGAUUUUCUGCGUUGAUUGUACCUUCAGAGGAAGCCCCGGCUA